UACAGAGGGUGCAAGCGUUGUUCGGAAUUACUGGGCGUAAAGCGCGUGUAGGCGGUUUGAUAAGUCGGACGUGAAAUCCCUGGGCUUAACCCAGGAACUGCGUUCGAAACUGUCAGACUAGAGUAUCGGAGGGGGUGGCGGAAUUCCCGGUGUAGAGGUGAAAUUCGUAGAUAUCGGGAGGAACACCUGUGGCGAAGGCGGCCACCUGGAAGAUAACUGACGCUGAGACGCGAAAGCGUGGGGAGCAAACAGG
rnacentral:rRNA from 1 species